GGAUUCCCCCAGUAACGGCGAGUGAAGCGGGAAGAGCUCAAGCUUAAAAUCUCCAUGUUUUACAUGGCGAAUUGUAGUCUAUUGAGGCUGUUGUCAGCAUAGCGAUUUGGGAUAAGUCCCUUGGAAAAGGGCAGCACAGAGGGUGAUACUCCCGUCUUUGCUCAGAUUGUCUAUGUGUACGAUACGCUUUCUUUGAGUCGAGUUGUUUGGGAAUACAGCUCAAAGUAGGUGGUAAAUUCCAUCUAAAGCUAAAUAUUGGUGCGAGACCGAUAGCGAACAAGUACCGUGAGGGAAAGAUGAAAAGAACUUUGAAAAGAGAGUUAAAGAGUACCUGAAACUGUUGAAAGGGAACCGUAACAUGUCCAGUGUUGUAUCUUGUGCAUAUUUCAUUAGUGGAGCAAUUUACUGGUGCCCUGUGCAUGAGUGUGACGUCAAAGUCAGUUUGUAUGCUGCGGGAGAUGGUUAGCAAGGAGGUGCGUCACUUUGUGUCAGUUAUACCUUGUUAUCUAGUAGCCGUGGUUGAGACUGAGGUGCCUACAACAUGCUUAUAGAGUAUAUUGUUGUCUCGUUAUUAUACCUGUUUGGAUAGCUUGCUAUGCUGAUGGUCUAUAG
rnacentral:rRNA from 1 species